CAGUGUCACAGCUCUUCUACAAUUUGUCUAGCAGGUUUUCUGGUUCUUCGUUGAGAACCCCU
rfam:Pan troglodytes isolate Yerkes chimp pedigree #C0471 (Clint) chromosome 2A, whole genome shotgun sequence.